UGGAGGCAGCAGUGGGGAAUAUUGCGCAAUGGGGGAAACCCUGACGCAGCGACGCCGCGUGGGCGACGAAGGCCUUCGGGUCGUAAAGCCCUUUUGUCAGGGACGAGUGAGGACGGUACCUGGCGAAUAAGUCUCGGCUAACUACGUGCCAGCAGCCGCGGUAAAACGUAGGAGGCGAGCGUUAUCCGGAUUCACUGGGCGUAAAGCGCGCGUAGGCGGUUUGUUAAGUCGGAUGUGAAAGCCCCUGGCUCAACUGGGGGAGGUCAUUCGAUACUGGCAGGCUUGAGGGUGAGAGAGGGGAGUGGAAUUCCCGGUGUAGCGGUGGAAUGCGUAGAGAUCGGGAGGAACACCAGUGGCGAAGGCGGCUCCCUGGCUCACUCCUGACGCUGAGAGCGCGAAAGCGUGGGGAGCAAACGGGAUUAGAUACCCCAGUAGUCC
rnacentral:rRNA from 1 species